rnacentral:rRNA from 1 species
GUGCUCCCCCGCCAAUUCCUUUAAGUUUCAGCCUUGCGGCCGUACUCCCCAAGCAGCAGGCUUAACACCUUCGCUACGGCACUGAGACCCCCCAAAGGAGUCCCAACACCAAGCCUGCAGCGUUUACAGCUAGGACUACCCGGGUAUCUAAUCCGGUUUGCGCCCCUAGCCUUCGUCCCUUACCGUCGGAUCCGUUCUAGCCAGACGCCUUCGCCACCGGUGGUCCGUCGAGGAUUAAAGGAUUUUACCCCUACCCCCGACGUACCUCUGGCCUCUCCCGGUCCCAAGCCCGGUAGUCUCUCCAGAAUUCGAACAGUUAAGCUGCCCGAUUUACCCAGAGAUUUGCCGGGCCGGCUACGGACGUUUUAGGCUCAAUAAAAAGGGUCACCACUUGGGCUGCCGGUAUUACCGCGGCGGCUGGCACCGGUCUUACCCAGCCCUUACUUCACAUGCUUUUUAGGCAUGUGAACAGCCCAGACUAACGCCUGGGCACUUGGGGUUCCCUCAUCACGGUUUCCCGCAGUGUGAAGUCUUCGCGACUGCUGCGCCCCGUAGGGCCUGGACUCGUGUCUCAGAGUCCAUCUCCGGGCUCCCCCGCUCAGGGCCCGUACCCGUCGCAGGCUUGGUGGUCCUUUACACCACCAACUACCUGAUAGGUCGCAGACCCAUCCUCGGGCGCCGGAGCUUUCAGUCAUGGAGCAUUCCAGCGACCAUGACCUAUGGGGUAUUAGCCUCAGUUUCCCGAGAUUAUCCCCCACCUGAGGGCAGGUUAUCCACGUGUUACUGAGCAGU